rnacentral:lncRNA from 1 species
CCUUGUUUUAUUCAUUAACUAAUACUUUUAUAAAAUAAGAUUAAUUUAUGAUUAAUUUCUACAUUACUAAUAGCUACCUAACGAUCAAAAUGUGGUAGUUAUACAGUACUAUAUUGUUUGGUACAAAUUUUGAUGUUAUGUAAUAAAAUGUGGUAGUUAUACAGUACUAUAUUGUUUGGUACAAAUUUUGAUGUUAUGUAAUUAACUAGCAUCGUAUAUUGAGUAUUAUAAGAUGUAUAACUAAUACACUUUCGAUCUAGAUUGCUUGAUGUUCAUAGGGUGAAUAAUAAAUAAAAUUCAUACGCCAAAAAAUAAACUUAAAUAUUUUUAAAAAAGAAAAUAAUUCAAAAUAUAUAACACUUAUCAAAUUGUUAUAACAAACUCGAACUUUGAGCAUUUCAAUAUUUACAAUAUUGACGUGAAUGUCUAUAUAUCUGUAGGAUUAUACAACAUUAAAUAGUUAUGUCCUAAAUUUCAUUUAUUUCGUUACAAAAGACAUUUUGAUAUAUCUUGUGAAUCUAUGAUAUUAUGUCUUCAUAUUUACACUACAAAAAACACAAUGUGAAUUAUUUGAGAUUUUCCUAAGAGUAAUAUGUAAAUUCAAAAAUUAUUUAUUUUCUUUGUGAAUUUUCAUACUACUUUCCAAAAAAAUCACACAUAAUUCACAAUUUUCUCACAGUAUUUUGAUCAUCAUUGGCAAAAAAAUAAUAAUUAAAAAAACAAUAAAAUAAUUAUUUAAUCAUUAUAAUAAAAAAAAUUUAAACAUUACAAAUAAAUCAUGUAGUACCCCAACGUCCAAAUACACCACAAAAAAUUAGAUGCAAAGGAUAGCGAGGGGAACUUUAUUAUAGCUUCACUUACUAAAAUAUCACACUAUAAAAAGUGUGAUACACAAAAAUAUGUAAUUAGCAAAGCAUAUUAUAAAUCUACGCAAACCUUAUCGUUAUCUCGUAAAAAUAUAAUAUGACAAACAACUCAGUCCCUUAGAUGUUCAUAAUUAAUUGUGAUCAUUUUCACAAAUCAUUACAGGUCUGUAACUGUAAAAAAAAUUGAUCAUCACCGUUGUUAUCAUAUAAUAUGAUAUAAUAAAAAUUAUGAUGAAUAAACUCAGUCCCUUAGAUGUUCAAAUUUUUUGCGAUCAUUUUCACAAAUCAUUACAGGUCUGUAACUGUAAAAAAAUUACUCAUCAUUGUUUAUUCAUCGAAAAAAAAAUAUCAUGCAAAAAAAUAAUAUAGCUAUUCCAGUUAUUCUCCACAAAAAAAUUAAAUUAAAUGAGGAGAAAGAUGAAUAAAUGGAACAACACAAAUUAUUAUUGCUUCAAGGGAACGAGUUGAUCAAAAAUAAAAUAUUUUUUGCCAACCAGAUUAAAGAAGCAUAUAUAACUCAAAAUAAUAUAUAAAUAAACACAACUUUAUUUAGAAGUUAGGAGAUAAAUCACCAUUUUUGAAGAUUUCGAUCUGCAGCUGCAGAAGAGGAGAAACUGAAACUGAUGUGAGUUAAUGUAGGGUUAGUGGUUCUAUUUAUAUAGAGGAAGCUAGGGUUUUUGGGGAGUGGGCUU